CGACUGGCUGUGACCUCUAACAACGAUGUGUUCAAUAGAGCCGAUGGGAGGAUCAUUGUGCUAAAAUACCGAAAAACGCCAUUUUCGGUAGAAGACAGGCAAAAGCUUAAAGCCGGCAUUGGAUAAUAGCUGAAAUUCACACGGGGUUUCUACUAGCAUGGGUGAUCAGAAUGUUUCCUUUUUGGCAACAGCAAUUCCCGACAAUUUGCACCCUGGUGGAAAAAAUGUUGUCACGAUUAGUUCCGCCCAAAAUUCAAGACAGAUGUGAGAUGGCAACAAGGGGCUUCAGCUAUUGUAGCAACAUAUGCGAUAUUUGAAACAUCUGUAGGCAUAAAACCUCGAUGCAAGGAUGCAAUUAUGAAAUUAAUUCAAGAUAUGGCUGUGGAAAAGAGCAAUGAUGGCCCA